AACGAACGCUGGCGGCAGGCCUAACACAUGCAAGUCGAGCGGACCCUUCGGGGUUAGCGGCGGACGGGUGAGUAACGCGUGGGAAUAUGCCCUUCUCUACGGAAUAGUCCUGGGAAACUGGGGGUAAUACCGUAUACGCCCUUUGGGGGAAAGAUUUAUCGGGGAAGGAUUAGCCCGCGUUGGAUUAGGUAGUUGGUGGGGUAAUGGCCUACCAAGCCGACGAUCCAUAGCUGGUUUGAGAGGAUGAUCAGCCACACUGGGACUGAGACACGGCCCAGACUCCGACGGGAGGCAGCAGUGGGGAAUCUUAGACAAUGGGGGCAACCCUGAUCUAGCCAUGCCGCGUGAGUGAUGAAGGCCUUAGGGUUGUAAAGCUCUUUCAGCUGGGAAGAUAAUGACGGUACCAGCAGAAGAAGCCCCGGCUAACUCCGUG
rnacentral:rRNA from 1 species